rnacentral:rRNA from 1 species
GGGCAUCAGGAAGAAAGCUUGCUUUCUUUGCUGGCGACCGGCGCACGGGUGAGUAACACGUAUCCAACCUGCCCUUUACUCGGGGAUAGCCUUUCGAAAGAAAGAUUAAUACCCGAUGGGAUAAUCAUUCCGCAUGGUUUGAUUAUUAAAGGAUUCCGGUAAAGGAUGGGGAUGCGUUCCAUUAGGUUGUUGGUGAGGUAACGGCCCACCAAGCCUUCGAUGGAUAGGGGUUCUGAGAGGAAGGUCCCCCACAUUGGAACUGAGACACGGUCCAAACUCCUACGGGAGGCAGCAGUGAGGAAUAUUGGUCAAUGGGCGCGAGCCUGAACCAGCCAAGUAGCGUGAAGGAUGACUGCCCUAUGGGUUGUAAACUUCUUUUAUAUUAGAAUAAAGUGCAGUAUGUAUACUGUUUUGUAUGUAUAAUAUGAAUAAGGAUCGGCUAACUCCGUGCCAGCAGCCGCGGUAAUACGGAGGAUCCGAGCGUUAUCCGGAUUUAUUGGGUUUAAAGGGAGCGUAGGUGGACUGGUAAGUCAGUUGUGAAAGUUUGCGGCUCAACCGUAAAAUUGCAGUUGAUACUGUCAGUCUUGAGUACAGUAGAGGUGGGCGGAAUUCGUGGUGUAGCGGUGAAAUGCUUAGAUAUCACGAAGACUCCGAUUGCGAAGGCAGCUCACUGG